rnacentral:lncRNA from 1 species
UCCAUUCAUACACAAAUAUCCCUCAAAAUUAUCCAAAACAUUCAACCAAUCAUUCCAAAACAUACCAUUCAAUUCCAUAUCUAUUGUCAUUCCAAAACAUACCAUUCCAUUCCAAAACAUAUCAUUCAAUAACCAAGAAAACAUACCAUUCUAUUCCAAAACAUACCAUUCAAUAACCAACAAAACAUACCAUUCAUACAAUUCAUGUUAUUCAAAACUAAACCAAAAGAUAAAAGAAGAGGAACCUAUUUGUUGGUGUCGGUCACGCUAUUCGUCGCACUUUUAGUCGGACUUUUAGUCGCACUUUUGCCAACAUUUUCGACAUUUGAAUCUCUUGUAAUAGGCGUGAUUAUGUUGUCGUGUCCUUGGCUAGACUGACCUUAAUGUAAAAAAAAAUUGAAAUUACAAAGAAAAUAUGAAUAUUGAUUUACA